rnacentral:rRNA from 1 species
CNCNGCCCAGANUCNUACGGGAGGCAGCAGUAGGGAAUCUUCCGCAAUGGACGAAAGUCUGACGGAGCAACGCCGCGUGAGUGAUGAAGGUUUUCGGAUCGUAAAGCUCUGUUGUUAGGGAAGAACAAGUGCAAGAGUAACUGCUUGCACCUUGACGGUACCUAACCAGAAAGCCACGGCUAACUACGUGCCAGCAGCCGCGGUAAUACGUAGGUGGCAAGCGUUGUCCGGAAUUAUUGGGCGUAAAGGGCUCGCAGGCGGUUUCUUAAGUCUGAUGUGAAAGCCCCCGGCUCAACCGGGGAGGGUCAUUGGAAACUGGGAAACUUGAGUGCAGAAGAGGAGAGUGGAAUUCCACGUGUAGCGGUGAAAUGCGUAGAGAUGUGGAGGAACACCAGUGGCGAAGGCGACUCUCUGGUCUGUAACUGACGCUGAGGAGCGAAAGCGUGGGGAGCGAACAGGAUUAGAUACCCUGGUAGUCCACGCCGUAAACGAUGAGUGCUAAGUGUUAGGGGGUUUCCGCCCCUUAGUGCUGCAGCUAACGCAUUAAGCACUCCGCCUGGGGAGUACGGUCGCAAGACUGAAACUCAAAGGAAUUGACGGGGGCCCGCACAAGCGGUGGAGCAUGUGGUUUAAUUCGAAGCAACGCGAAGAACCUUACCAGGUCUUGACAUCCUCUGACAACCCUAGAGAUAGGGCUUUCCCUUCGGGGACAGAGUGACAGGU